rnacentral:lncRNA from 1 species
UCUCCAAGCAGUGGAUCUUGAGCUGUGACUUCUGUCUGUCAUAGGAAGUGUCCUCAUCCCUGGAAGAAAGAGAGAAUGUCUACACCUCACUUUUGGAGUCUUCAGCAGAAGAUAACAGUAUUUACCCAAACUUUAAAGCAUUGUUUUAUAUUCAUUGUGUAUAUCUAUGUAUAUAAUAGCUACCUUCUAUUUAAGUCCAAUGAUAUGGUUUGUAAAUCUGUUUACAGUAGUGAUAUAAUCUUUUAAAAUAAUAGAAAAAGUGGUUCCAUUUAAAGAAAAAUAUAUGGAUAAUUGAUGGUUUCAUGGUACAGAAAAAACAUGUAAGUUAUUCAAAAACAAAGUUUGCGAGGACCUGCCCUAUCACAAAGCAAAUACAUUAGUGAGAAGCAGAGAGUAUUAACCUGUGAUCCUAAACUCUUUUGUCAAUGUGGAAAAGGCAUUCAUCACCCAGCAUCCUGUAAGAGGACCCAGAAGAGGUUACUUUUAUGGCCAUAUGAGGUGAGUAGGUGAUAUGAUUUGGCUGUGUCCUGACCCAAAUCUCAUUUUAAAUUGUAGCUCCCAUAAUUCCCACGUGUUGUGGGAGGGACCCAGUGGGAGAUCAAAUCAUGGGAGUGGUUUCCCUGAUACUGUUCUCAUGGUAGUGAAUAAGUCUCACAAGAUCUGAUGAUUUUAUAAGGGGCUUCCCCUUUUGCUUGGUUUAUAUUCACUCUUGUUUACCGCCAGGUGAGACGUGCGUUUUGCCUUCUGCCAUGAUUGUGAGGCCUCCUCGGCCACAUGGAACCCUGAGUCAAUUAAACCUCUUUUUCUUUGUAAAUUACUUAGUCUCAGUUAUGUCUUUAUUAGCAGCAUGAGAACGACUAAUACAGUAGGCAAGUGGGAGUCAUCAGAGUCCUGACCAGGCUUUCUGCUACAUGUGUAUAAGUAGUUACCCAUAGCACUGGCCCCAUGUCUUUGA